CAGUAGACAGACAGGUAGGUACUGUAGGACAAGCCACCAGUAGACAGACAGGUAGGUAGUUUAGGACAAGCCACCAGUAGACAGACAGGUAGGUACUGUAGGACAAGCCACCAGUAGACAGACAGGUAGGUACUGUAGGACAAGCCACCAGUAGACAGACAGGUAGGUAUUAUAGGUCAAGCCACCAGUAGACAGACAGGUAGGUACUGUAGGACAAGCCACCAGUAGACAGACAGGUAGGUAUUAUAGGUCAAGCCACCAGUAGACAGACAGGUAGGUAUUAUAGGUCAAGCCACCAGUAGACAGACAGGUAGGUAUUAUAGGUCAAGCCACCAGUAGACAGACAGGUAGGUACUGUAGGACAAGCCACCAGUAGACAGACAGGUAGGUAUUAUAGGUCAAGCCACCAGUAGACAGACAGGUAGGUACUGUAGGACAAGCCACCAGUAGACAGACAGGUAGGUACUGUAGGACAAGCCACCAGUAGACAGACAGGUAGGUACUGUAGGACAAGCCACCAGUAGACAGACAGGUAGGUACUGUAGGACAAGCCACCAGUAGACAGACAGGUAGGUACUGUAGGACAAGCCACCAGUAGACAGACAGGUAGGUACUGUAGGACAAGCCACCAGUAGACAGACAGGUAGGUAUUAUAGGUCAAGCCACCAGUAGACAGACAGGUAGGUACUGUAGGACAAGCCACCAGUAGACAGACA